GCGCAUUUCGCAUCUUUCUGCGAUACGGAUUCCGUAUAUGAGAGGGACCUCUCCCCGUCGGUGAGUUCCGCUAACAGCACAGCCUGCUGGUCAACCCUCCACCGCUCCACGCAUUGUCCCUGCUCCGGCCCAGCCGCGUCGCCGCUGCCGGAGAUGGCCAAGGGCACCACCGCCAUGGAGGUCCGCGCCGACGGCGUCGCCGUCAUCACCAUCUCCAACCCGCCCGUCAACGCCCUCUCUUUCGACGUCAUAGCCAGCUUGCGGAGGAACUAUGCGGAGGCUCUAAGCAGGAACGAUGUCAAGGCAAUUGUGCUCACUGGUGCCAAGGGGAGGUUUUGCGGCGGAUUUGAUAUAACUGCAUUUGGAAAGAAACCAAAAAACGAGAAGCCUGGGUCCAUGUCAAUUGAUUUCUUGAGUGACAUAGUGGAAGAUGCUCGCAAACCAUCAGUGGCUGCUAUAGAUGGCAUUGCUCUGGGUGGCGGAUUGGAGGUUGCAAUGGUCUGCCAUGCUCGUAUUUCGACACCAUCAGCUCAACUAGGACUCCCUGAACUUCAACUUGGAAUCAUUCCUGGAUUGGGAGGAACCCAACGGCUUCCCCGCCUUGUUGGCCUGCAAAAAGCCCUUGAGAUGAUGUUGACCUCAAAGGCUAUAAAAGGAAGGGAGGCACAUGAAGUCGGUCUAGUUGAUGCUGUAACUUCAGCUAACGAAUUGGUCAACACCGCCUGUUCCUGGGCUCUGGAAAUCGUUGAAAACAAGAAACCAUGGUUCAAGAGUCUCUACAGAACUGAUAGACUUCCAGAUCUUGUGGAAGUAAAGGAUGUCCUUAAAUUUGCAAGAGUUCAAACUAAAAAGAAGGCUCCUAAUGUUCAACAUCCCAUAGUUUGCAUUGAUGUUAUUGAAGAGGGAAUAGUCUGUGGGCCUCGUGUUGGCCUCAUGAAGGAAGCGCUCUCCGCAAAAAUGGUUGAGCAGUCUCAAACAAGCAAAAGCUUAAGACACUUUUUUUUCGCUCAGCGUGCUACUUCAAAGAUUCCAAAUAUUACCAACAUAGGUUUGACACCACGGAAAAUUAAAAAGGCAGCUAUUGUCGGGGGUGGUCUAAUGGGAUCUGGAAUUGCCGCAGUGUUGAUAUUGAACAACUUCAAGGUUAUCUUGAAAGAAAUAAAUGAACAAUUCUUAUCUGCAGGCAUUAACAGAGUUAGAGGCAAUCUGCAGAGUUUUGUUAGAAAGGGACAACUUACCAAAGAGGACUGUGAAAGGAAAUUUUCUCUGCUAUCUGGUGUUCUGGACUACGAACAGUUCAGAGAUGCAGAUUUGGUCAUUGAGGCAGUUAUUGAGGAUAUAUUGCUGAAGCAGAAAAUAUUUUCUGACCUUGAGAAGUACUGCCAUCAUAAUUGCAUAUUUGCGACAAACACUUCAACGAUAGACCUGAACUUAAUUGGCCAGAAGACAGGUUCUCAGGAUCGCAUUGUUGGCGCACACUUCUUUAGUCCAGCUCAUGUCAUGCCACUGUUGGAAAUAGUUCGUACCCAUCAGACUUCCUUACAAGCUAUUGUGGAUUUGCUUGAUAUGGCAAAGAAGAUACAGAAAACACCAAUAGUUGCUGGCAACUGCACGGGUUUUGCCGUCAAUCGGAUGUUCUUUCCUUACGGUCAGGCGGCUUCUUUUCUUGUUGACUAUGGUCUAGAUGUGUAUCACAUAGAUAAUGUGAUCACACAAUUUGGAAUGCCAAUGGGGCCCUUCCGAUUAGCUGAUCUUGUUGGCUUUGGUGUUGCUACUGCCACAAGAAAGCAAUAUUUCCAAAGUUAUCCUGAACGAUGCUACAAAUCAAUGUUGUUGCUGCAGAUUCUGCUUGAAGAUAACAGGACAGGUGAAUCUUCUCGUAAGGGCUUCUAUGUCUAUGAUGAUAAGCGAAAAGCCUCACAAGAUCCUGAUUUGAGAAAGUAUAUUGAGAAAUCAAGGAACAUGGGAGGUGUUACGCAAGAUCCUAAGGUCGUAUGCUAUAUCUUGCUCUGCUUGUAAGGAGCUGAUGAAAUUAACAGAUAAUGACAUCGUGGAGAUAAUCUUGUUUCCCGUGGUGAAUGAAGCCUGCCGAGUGCUUGAUGAGGGGAUUUCUCUGAAAGCAUCUGACCUUGAUGUAGCUUCAAUUAUGGGGAUGGGCUUCCCUUCUUACAGGGGUGGAGUAAUGUUUUGGGCUGACUCACUCAGCGCAAAAUACGUGUACGACAGACUGGAGGCUUGGUCAAAGGAUUAUGGGGAGUUCUUUAAACCCUGCGAAUAUCUAGCUGCUAGAGCUCGUCAGGGUGCAUCUCUGGCUGCCAAGGUUGACAGGGCUAAAUCGCGGCUCUAGGGUUUCACUGUUCAUUUGCCCUGUCUCGUUUAUUAGUUUACACAGAAUUCAGACUCACGGAAUCUCUAAAUUUGAGGAGAUGCUGCUGCCAAAACCCGCGAGCAUCAGGAUCUUGAUUGUUACAAAUUACAAUCGUGUGGUUGCAAAAGCCGCGGUUGGAAUAGGACUGGAAUGGAAUAAUAGGGAGGUCUAGUGAUUGUAUUGGCCUUCCUGGAACUGCUGUGGCUCCAUCGCAGGAGUUUCUGAGAUAUUGUGCGCUAUCUGUUCAAGUGAUGUCUGCAUAGAACAAGUGAGGUCCUCAGUUCAGCUGUUAUGUAACAUCCAACUGUUUCCAAAAUAAUUCAGAUAUUUUUUCCCCCGCUCUUUCCUUCUUGUACGUGUCAGUGUACUGCUUGGUCUAAAAUUGUAGUAUGGUCUAAAGGUGUAAGCAUGUAGCUUCACUUCAUGUACAGUUCCUACAUGUCCGUCCACUUGCACUAUACGCUGUUCGUAAAAUGGACAGAUCAAAAGCUUUGCAUUC